rnacentral:tRNA from 1 species
UUCCCCUGUAGCUCAGUUGGUAGAGCAAAUGGCUGUUAACCAUUGGGUCCGUGGUUCGAGCCCGCGCGGGGGAGUGAU